GCGUUGUCCGGAUUUACUGGGCGUAAAGCGCACGUAGGCGGAUCGAUCAGUCAGGGGUGAAAUCCCAGAGCUCAACUCUGGAACUGCCUUUGAUACUGUCGAUCUGGAGUAUGGAAGAGGUGAGUGGAAUUCCGAGUGUAGAGGUGAAAUUCGUAGAUAUUCGGAGGAACACCAGUGGCGAAGGCGGCUCACUGGUCCAUUACUGACGCUGAGGUGCGAAAGCGUGGGGAGCAAACAGG
rnacentral:rRNA from 1 species